AUUGAACGCUGGCGGCAGGCCUAACACAUGCAAGUCGAACGGUAACAGAAAGCAGCUUGCUGCUUUGCUGACGAGUGGCGGACGGGUGAGUAAUGUCUGGGAAACUGCCUGAUGGAGGGGGAUAACUACUGGAAACGGUAGCUAAUACCGCAUAAUGUCGCAAGACCAAGGAGGGGGACCUUCGGGCCUCUUGCCAUCGGAUGUGCCCAGAUGGGAUUAGCUAGUAGGUGGGGUAAUGGCUCACCUAGGCGACGAUCCCUAGCUGGUCUGAGAGGAUGACCAGCCACACUGGAACUGAGACACGGUCCAGACUCCUACGGGAGGCAGCAGUGGGGAAUAUUGCACAAUGGGCGCAAGCCUGAUGCAGCCAUGCCGCGUGUAUGAAGAAGGCCUUCGGGUUGUAAAGUACUUUCAGCGAGGAGGAAGGUGUUGUGGUUAAUAACCACAGCAAUUGACGUUACUCGCAGAAGAAGCACCGGCUAACUCCGUGCCAGCAGCCGCCGUAA
rnacentral:rRNA from 1 species